rnacentral:ncRNA from 2 species
UAAAUAUUUCAGGGGAGCUUGCUUUAGCAGGCUGAGAGGAAGCAAUCAACUUCGACCCUUUACCUGAUGCGGAUAAUGCCGCCGUAGGGAGUAAGCCAUACUUGCUU